GACGUCAUGCCAGAAAAAUGGGUUACUUUGAUGUGGUAAAUUAUGGGUAAUUUUAUCCUGACGUUU
rnacentral:tRNA from 1 species